GGGCCCAUGGUAUAGUGGCAACACGCAUCCAUGGCAUGGAUGAGUUCGGGGUUCGAUUCCCCGUGGGUCCACCA
rnacentral:tRNA from 1 species